ensembl:lncRNA
CUAGUUUCUUCGUGUGUUUUCCUAUUCGUUACUUUCGUCUUCCUGUAAAUAGAUUCUCCGGACCUGCCCUGUUACCCCGAACUUUGGAACAUUGAGCGUGGAUGUUGGCAGUUUGGAGUGGCGUGUGUGUGGGAUUUCCCGAGCAGAGCGAGCGAGUUGAGCGUGUGGAGCAGUGAUUUGGCGUACGAGUGAGAAGGACCUGUUUCCCUUCCCUGAACCUUCCCAUAGAUCUCUGGCUUAUCACCACCUGUAUAUAUUCUGCACCUGGUGUUUUUGUGUGAAUGAAGAACUGUUAACUUGUGACUUUCAGUCUGCACCUGAUUCUGAUCCGCUUCCCGUGACAAUUACAUCCCUUUGGCUAUAGUCACAUAUUCAUUCCUACAAGAACACACAGAAGAAGUUGCUCCAUACUUAUAAGCGGAAACACCGUCCAGCUUUUUGUUCUUACACUGUUGUUGAUAAAUAGCCUGUUGUGUGCCAGAAACCUUGCAAAAAUGGUGGCGUGUGUGUGGGCCUCAACCGGUGCCGCUGUACCAAAGGUUUCACUGGAGAGCUCUGUGAACAAGCGGUGACUACACCCUGUGUGCCACCUUGUCAACAUGGAGGCACAUGCAGCCCCCACAGCACUUGUACCUGUCCAGAGGGCACUGCGGGCCUGCACUGUGAGAGACUGACGUGCCCAGUGGUCACUACAAUAGUGAGUAUGGCUCGAGGGGUGAGGAAAGCAUUUAGGGAAAGCUACGUUGACCGCUGUGGACCCUUCGGAGUUCAGCUUUGUACUAAAUACAGGAUAAACCAGGCACGUGUAUACCUGCAGGCCUACAGGGUGGGCUACAAAAUCCAGUGUCCACAGGGGAAGAGCAGAUAAGCAGCGCUGGAUACAGUGAAAGUGGUUUGUCAUAAGAAAAUGUCAUCCUCCAGACAAUCGUUUGGCCAACACAGGAAGAUAGAAAUGGACUGACGUAACAUCGUAUGUAAAGUGCUGAGGGUGUUGCAGCUUCUCUGGGAGAAGUCUUACCUGAUUGUCAGCCCCUGUGUUGAAAUGAAAAUACACUUCUGUCAUUAAGAAGGUUUAUAAUGUCUAUGAAAUCAUGUCAGCGAUGGAAUAAAAAUAUAGACAAGAAAUAUUUGAAGAUGAACUCUCACACAAGCACGCUAAGUAGAUGUUCGAACGGGACAGUUUUUGAGUAUUUCUGUAGUCAUCUCAGAACAGAUCUCAUAACAGCAGCAGUUUUAUUGUAAGCCAUGUUAUCACUGUAGUACUGAUAAUCAACCUUUUAUGAAAUAAGCACAAGUUCAGUGUUUAGUUUGAAAUUCCUGUAAAACAUUAAUCAGCUUGAAAAAGUGAAAAUCAUGAUUUUCCCAACAUGUUUGUUUUGAACGUAUAUUCAAACGAACCCAGUCGCCUCCGUGGCUCGGUUACUACUCAGAUAGCUAACAUCCUGCCUGUUUUUUGUUUUGAGCUCUACUCAUGUUUUUUCUCUAGAUUAACAAUGAUAGCGACAUAAAACAUGCCUAAAGUGACAAAUUCAAAAUAAACUAUUGCCUA